GGUACAAAGAGCUUUGCGAGGAUUGCACAUGAUGAUGAAAGGGUAGAGGAGCUCAUACCAACCCACCCUGCUGCAUUCUCGAGCAUCACUCAAAGUUCGGUGCUCUGGACACCGAACGACGCGUAUGACUUGGUGCAUGUCAAUAAGCCCGAGUAUGUUGGCAGGGUUUUACAAGUUGGGCCAAAUGUUCUGCCUGUGCUAUUCAUUCAUAUCAUACACCCUCGUAGGCACGAUCACAGAGUUCGAGGCAAGGCACUUACUCACAAGAAUAUUUCGAGCAGGCAAUCGAGAGAGUAAUAAUGACUAAGCAGGCCAAAUGGGAGGCCUGUUUUAGAGCCUUUGAGUCACGUGUCAAUGCUAAGAUUUCCGAGCCCGCUGUCACUCAAUAGACAGCAGUGCAUGACAGAGCUUUUGAACCAGGUAGUGCAAAGCAUGUUGUGAAUACGCCCGAUGAAGAUCUUGGUCACGACCUCAAUUAACCAACUAGGUAAUAUUAUAUUUUUAUUAUCAUCUUUGUACAGUAUAUUAUUCGAAUUGUUGAUGUAUUGUUGGAAAUCUAAAUUGUCUAUGUCAACCACCAAUAAAAUCAUGAGGCUAAGUUGCGAGUAAAUGUGUAAUCGUCUUUUAUAUGUAUGAAGUAAGUGUCACAAGGGGGAGUGCCCCAUAAAGGUACUUACUCCCAUAAAGCAGUUGAGACUGUUGGUUCUAUAAUGCAACGUGUUCAU